rnacentral:lncRNA from 1 species
AACAUUAUUUUCUUAUAUAUAUAUAUAUAUUUGAAACUAUUGUUUUUCAUAUCGUAUUAGUUCUAGUUGUUUUUUCCGAAAUAGGAGGUGCAGUUGGACGAAUUUUCUUUCAAAUGUGUCAACGCUGUGAUUGUUUUUUUUAUUAGGUUAGAAGGUGUCGUUUGUCGAGAAGAGAAUAUAUAUGUUAUGGGAAGUGAGUGUUCUAAAUAAGGCAUAAGUUAGUGUUUGGACAAAACUACAACGCUUCAAUUUCAUGUAAGAACAUGUUUGGUAUUCCACACUCAGCUCAUUCGUCCACCGUUCUCAUUUUGUGAUAUAUGCAGACUCAAAC